CGGGCUGUAGCGCAGUUUGGUAGCGCACGUGACUGGGGGUCAAGGGGUCGCAGGUUCAAAUCCUGUCAGCCCGACCA
rnacentral:tRNA from 1 species